rnacentral:piRNA from 1 species
UAGCAAGAAUGGGCACCGGUGUGUCUACU